GACCAAGCCAUAGUUUACACCCACUGGGGAAGAAGAAAGGGCGGAAGCCCGAGUAGCGCAAUGGAGCAGCAGGCUUAGUAGAAGAAGAAUAGGGACGGCCGCCAUUGUUGGAGGUUUGGAGUUGUCUGUCAUCUCUGAGCGGUGGGCCUGCCGCACUCCAAUAGAUUGAAUGCUUGAGAUGUCAGCCACUUUCUUGCAUGGACCACCUUCUCUCAUCACUGGACAUUUUACUUUCCUUGCCAGACAGAGUAGAGUUAGAGAUUAAAGCAUUUUGAGUAUGGUGAAACGUCAGCGAGUUUAGAGAUAGAAAAAGGACUUUGUCACUAUGUGAGCUUGUGGGUGGAAGAAUAAUAGUACUACAAAUGAGUCCAAAAGGCCAGCAAAUUAUACAAGAGUUUUGGUUGAAUGUCUUUCAUUUUCUUCUUUGAUUUGAUUUUUUGUAUGGAUUUAAUUAACUCUUGUAUACGUUAACUAAA